rnacentral:rRNA from 1 species
AUUGAACGCUGGCGGAAUGCUUUACACAUGCAAGUCGAACGGCAGCACGGACUUCGGUCUGGUGGCGAGUGGCGAACGGGUGAGUAAUGUAUCGGAACGUGCCCAGUCGUGGGGGAUAACGUAGUGAAAAUUACGCUAAUACCGCAUACGAUCUAUGGAUGAAAGCGGGGGACCGUAAGGCCUCGCGCGAUUGGAGCGGCCGAUAUCAGAUUAGGUAGUUGGUGGGGUAAAGGCUCACCAAGCCGACGAUCUGUAGCUGGUCUGAGAGGACGACCAGCCACACUGGAACGGAGACACGGUCCAGACUCCGACGGGAGGCAGCAGUGGGGAAUUUUGGACAAUGGGCGCAAGCCUGAUCCAGCCAUUCCGCGUGCAGGAUGAAGGCCCUCGGGUUGUAAACUGCUUUUGUACGGAACGAAAAGGCUCUGGUUAAUACCUGGGGCUCAUGACGGUACCGUAAGAGUAAGCACCGGCUAACUACGUGCCAGCCGCCGCGGUAA